GCUAGGCAUGGUGGUGCAUGCCUAUAAUCCCAGCUACUUGGGAGGCUGAGGCAGGGGAAUCGCUUGAAUGUGGGAGGUGGGGGUUGCAGUGAGCCAACAUCGUGCCACUGCACUCCAGCCUGGGUGACAGAGCGAGACUCUGUCUCAA
rfam:Pan troglodytes isolate Yerkes chimp pedigree #C0471 (Clint) chromosome 14, whole genome shotgun sequence.